rnacentral:lncRNA from 1 species
UGGAGCUGAAAAGUACAAUAACUGGAAUUAAAACUUUACUACUUGGUGAUAGGAAUCUCAACUGAGAUUAUGCCAUCUGAGAAAAUUCUAACAAACCUGUUGGCCACUGCCAGUUAUGCCAACAUAUGCACAAUAGGAAUCCCACAAGGAGAAGACCAAGAGAAAGGCAAAAAGAAUAAUUGAAUAAAUGAAAGCAAAUAAUAAUAAUAAUAGGCAAAGCCCCCCUCCCUGCCCCAAAUCUCUUUACAUCAAAAAAAUUUUUUUCAUUAAAUGCCCUUUGUUACUUAACGAGAUUCACUGUCACUGUUUCCCCACAGUGUGGAAAAUACGGCUGUGAAGAAGUCAACAAAGAAUUCUUGCUUUGUAAAACUACAUUGGAACCUAAGCCUUUUCUUCUAGAAAUAGGUGUAAAAUCACUGCCAAGUGCUCAUUAAGCUCUUUCCUUUUGGCAUCACCCUCUGUUCUAGCUGACAGGAAAGACCUCUGUCAUGCCCCAAACUGGUGUGGAAAAAAAAAAAAACAAACCACCAGGAGGAUGCAGCUCCCAGAGCGAGUGUUCUUCACUCAUCACCAAAGGAGAUGACCGCCCAAAAGGCAGAAACCACCCGGGGGCUGUCAUCGCUCCGUGACACCAAAACAACGGGCUGGAAAGGUCAGUCUAAGGACUUCUUCUGACCUCAUGAAACCCGGGGGAUGUUGCAUCUCGCUGACUUUUUCUUUUCUUCUCUGAAUUGACAGAGCUGGUUGGCAUGUGGUAUCAUGUGGCUGGAGCCACAGGGUGUAUUGCUGGAGCGCCUCAGAUGGUGGGUCAGCUGAGAAGCAGUGAUGCCUGCCCAGCUGCAGAGAGACAUGGCAUCUGUUGGAGAGUCUGGAGACACAGGAGAGAUCCCAGGAACCCUGAAGGACAUUCUGGAAGCAACAGCUAUUGACAGCUACAGUUGCUAUAACUGAAGCUACUGCUACUGAUCACGUUGCCACCAGAGGAGUUGCCUCAGAAAGACGUGGAAAACCACUGGGGACCAGGGAAGAAAUGGUUGAGACACGCUUUCCUUGGGAGAGCCUUGCCAAGGGCCACCGUGGGUCCCACAUUGGGAGCUACACACCCAU